GCGGGAGGAAAAAUAGCUCAUUCGGUUAGAGUGUGGUGCUGAUAAUGCCAAGGUUGCAGGUUCAAUCCACGUAUGGGACAGCUGCA